rnacentral:rRNA from 1 species
CGGGUGAGUAACGCGUAUCCAACCUGCCCACCACUUGGGGAUAACCUUGCGAAAGUAAGACUAAUACCCAAUGACGUCUCUAGAAGACAUCUGAAAGGGAUUAAAGAUUUAUCGGUGAUGGAUGGGGAUGCGUCUGAUUAGCUUGUUGGCGGGGUAACGGCCCACCAAGGCGACGAUCAGUAGGGGUUCUGAGAGGAAGGUCCCCCACAUUGGAACUGAGACACGGUCCAAACUCCUACGGGAGGCAGCAGUGAGGAAUAUUGGUCAAUGGGCGAGAGCCUGAACCAGCCAAGUAGCGUGCAGGAUGACGGCCCUAUGGGUUGUAAACUGCUUUUAUAAGGGAAUAAAGUGAGUCUCGUGAGACUUUUUGCAUGUACCUUAUGAAUAAGGACCGGCUAAUUCCGUGCCAGCAGCCGCGGUAAUACGGAAGGUCCGGGCGUUAUCCGGAUUUAUUGGGUUUAAAGGGAGCGUAGGCCGGAGAUUAAGCGUGUUGUGAAAUGUAGACGCUCAACGUCUGCACUGCAGCGCGAACUGGUUUCCUUGAGUACGCACAAAGUGGGCGGAAUUCGUGGUGUAGCGGUGAAAUGCUUAGAUAUCACGAAGAACUCCGAUUGCGAAGGCAGCUCACUGGAGCGCAACUGACGCUGAAGCUCGAAAGUGCGGGUAUCGAACAGGAUUAGAUACCCUGGUAGUCCGCACGGUAAACGAUGGAUGCCCGCUGUUGGUCUGAAUAGGUCAGCGGCCAAGCGAAAGCAUUAAGCAUCCCACCUGGGGAGUACGCCGGCAACGGUGAAACUCAAAGGAAUUGACGGGGGCCC